rnacentral:rRNA from 1 species
AAUCACCCGUGUCUCACCCCACUCCCACCCUAGUGGCCCAGCCGCCAAACGAACCCUAGCCCUCUUUCUCCUUCCCCUCGAUCCCCACGAGCCGCCGCACCCCUCCCUCGAUCCCCAGUUCCCCAUGAUCCUCUCCUAGCCCGCAGCCGCCGGUCUUGUCUCUCCACUCUACCAUGUCGUCGUCGAUCCCACCGCCGGCCUUCUCCUCUGCUUGCUUCCUCCGGUUCCAUGUCGCCGUCGAUCCAGAGCGGCGGCGGGGUCUGCGCGGUGCGGGUGGGGAUGUAGGGGAGGGGUGGGAUGCAGACGAUGGCGAGGAAGGCAAGCAACAUCGGGGAAUGAGCAGGUGAGCGAUCCUUGCGUGGGGAAGGGGCAGGGUGGGGCCUCACGCACCUGCCGGCGGCCGGCGGGAGCUUGAGCUCGAGACGAUGGAGGUGCUAAGGCGGGGCAGGAGAGGACGGCUCGCCGACGAGCUCGAGUUGGAGGCGGUGAGAUCUUUUCCUUCAUGGCUUCCCACCCGCCGAGCUCGUUGGUCCUCCUCCCUCCCCCGUGCGGCCGGCCUCGUCCUUCGUCCCUCGACCGUGCUGUGACAUUGCUUCCUCAAUUGGUCGCCGCCUCGUCUCGCCUGAACACGAUGCCGUCCGGGGCAGCGCCGGCACCGAGGCACCACCUCUGCCUCCACCCCCACGGGGCAAAGAGCUCGAGGUGUUUGGGGGUUUCUUGUCCCUGAUGUCAUGUUGUGAUUGGUGCAGCCGCUGGAUGAGAAAGCAUAGGAUUCAGGAAAGCAACUGCAAGAGACGGAGAAGACGUCCCCAUGGCUUCUACGAGGACCAGAAGCGUAUGCCUAUUAUUAGAGCUUGGAUAAGGCCUGGGGUUGUUAAGAAGAGGGUCGGGAUUGCCCUGGGCAGAUGCUUAAAUUCCUGGAUGUAAACGCACACUUGCCUCCUACACAGGCCAAAAUACUAUUGGAGAUAAGGAUACUUGUUUUGCAUAUUUGCAUCUCGAAGAAGCUUGCCCACUAUUGUAAGUCUGACAUUUUCUUGCUUGCUUGUGGAAAAACUGGUUCUCGUUCAGUUAUGCUUGUCAGUUUGAUAGAAGAUGGACACCCCUCUUCAAGUUGGUUUAUGGGCUUGCGGAGUGUGAGAAACCCCUGGUAUGCCUCCAUCCUUCGUCCCUUGCUCCGUGGCCUGGAUGUCGAGGGAGGGCGAGAGGUGGUGAUAUGCAGGGGUGAGGGAGAUGGAGGCGGUGACCUGCAGCUCCUGUUGAAGGGGCGGAGAAGAGGGGGUGCGGAGAUGAGAGGCUAUUGUUGUUUAUUCCUUCAUGCAGUAUUUCUGAGUUGGUUCACUCUGAAAAAAGGCUUUCCAUAAGUGGUCCGCAGCUGGGCCUGAAAGAAAUUCAUGACUGGAUGGCAAUGGAACACUAAAUAACCUGGCAACGGAUACCCUGUGGUCUACCAUUAUAAUUAUGUGUGCAUUUUGGAUCUAUUGGAUGUCUGAAUGUAAUGCUAAUCGACAUUUACUGAUGCAAAGAUUUUGCAGGGAUGUAGAUAUAUAUGGUGAUGUUUCACUACGAUCUAAGUGUUUCAGUUCAUAUUUAGCAGGAUCACAUGUUGACCAAUGACUCUUUGCUGCCAUGGUUGAUACCGCUCGGCGGCUGGAUCUGCCAUGGAGUGGCUACCAUGGGCCAACUAGAGCUGGGUGUCCCUGUUUCCGACCUCAAGGCGAAGGACUGAGCAAGAGGAGGAACUUCGUCGACCCAGCCGUGAGCAAAUGAUGCUCUGACGAGUCGAUCAGGACCGUCAUGGAGAUCUGCCCACGGGGCCUCACCAAGGAACCAACACUGAGGCCAUUAGACAAGGACGUCCUAUGGAACCUGCAGUUUGCAGCCCUGGUGUAGGAUGAGUCCCCGCUCUCAUCAUCGCAGAUCCGUGCACAAUCCGCAGAGUACUAACCUCUAGGCAGGCUGAGAAAAAUAUUGGCAAGCAUUACCAUUAUGAUCCUCCCUUGAUCAUCAUUGUUGAAGGAAAACGUAUUAGAGAUGGUAUUUUCAAGUUAAAUGUACCAGCAGCCGAUGAUGGACCUUGUGAUGCAUAUAGUUUGCAUAUUUCUCUUCAUCCAGUUUCUUCAUCCAUUUUUUUCUGUUCGCUCAUUUCUUCUAGCGUAUUCCUAGCAGUAUUUUUCAGUUGAAGGAUAGAUGGUCUAAUUACCAAACGAAUGUGUAGGCAAUGCCCAUUUGAUUAGUUAUAUCCAUGUAGUCUAUGUUUGAUAGCAUAGUAUUGUAAAAACCAAAGAAUUUUAAAGCUACAGUAUUUGCUCCUAUAGGUACAAGAUACCACGGUAAUAAUAUACCAGAGUAUUUAGGAGUAUUGGGAAUAAUGCAAACCUGUUACACUAGAGCUUAUAUGUAAAGUAAAUUAGCAACUGGCCAUUUGUUAACAGUCGCACACAUGUUUGUACCCGGCUCGCUGGCCGUUGCGAACUGAACAACUAUGCACAAGAGCAAGCCCCAGCCGCAUGCACAAACUUGAAUGUCUAUAUGCAUUAAACGGCCAUACACAAAGCAAGCUUAUACAACAAGAGGAGUUGAACUAGGUUGAGUUGCUGCUUCACAUUGCCUGGAACGCUAGGCCAUGUUCUGCAUGUCGUCGCAGGCACCACGGGAGCGUCUUGGCCUUCUUUUGUGUCACCAUCGAGAGGUAGCAGGAAAUGUGCGUCGAGAGGCACUUGAAUACGCAUGUGGAUUGUUUUCAGCAUGGUAGUCUCAAAAAGGUGGUAUUCUCAAAAUACAUAGAAAAUGCUUUGCUAUCGAAUAGGGCUAUAAAUGCAGAUUUCCUUGAAGAUAGUAUAUUUUAUAACUGUAUUGCCAACGUGCUCCCAUAGUUUUAUCACCACAAAAUAGUUCUAACUGCUCAUUUAAUUUUCAGUGGCAUGCAUGGGUGGUUGUAGUGUAGUUUUAUUAAUCUGCAUGCAUUUUCUGUGUUGAUAUACUAUCUCAAUAAAUAAUGAAUACGUAUAAUAUAUGCAAGCUACAUUCAAUUAGUUUUGAUACUAUUCCCUUGAUAGUUUGUUACAUUUGAGGAGUUAGGGUACAAACGCCUGAAUAAACUGAGGAGCACUGUGAAACAAUUGCAAUUCGGGUAGCAAAUACACUUGAUGCGUUGUUCCCUUUUUUGAAUUGUUCAUAUGUUUACAACCACUUUGUUUUACUCAAAUGUCGAUUUGAAAUCUGUCAGCAUUAUUUCCGGAUGUGUUUGUCCUUUUGUUCUUACGUAUAUCUCUUGUGCUGUUAAUCUAAAUUACAACUUUGAAUGCUACAUAUUGUAUAGGCAGAGAGGGAUUUAAUGGUUAACAGCUCUUUGUGCCCCGGAUUAAUUUGUACUGGUUCAGGGGCUAUCUUGUGUCGCUGGAUGUGCUAUUAAAGAGGAUUUUAAUUUGGUUUUUCAAUCAGUGUGUCUGGGUAAGAUGAAUUGGUAAUAUUCAGCUAGCUGGAGACGGAACUACCGCUGCAAUCACUACUGGAGACGGAACUACCGCUGUCACAUGCCGCUUUAUCAAGGGUGUUGACAAAAGGGCCAUCAUCACUAGAGGCUGGAGUGGCUUCUUCCGUCAGGCACACAUUAAGAAAGGUCAAGCAUAUGCUUUCGCCUUCAAAUGCACUUUCAAGGGGCUGUGCCUGAUCGUCUACUCAAUAUAAACAGGUAGCAAGAACCCCUUGUUAUAUAACUUAGCAUUAGUAUAGAUGCCUAACAAGAUUUAUAUGUUUAUCAUCCUUUUGAAUCUUAUCUAAUCACCUAAGACCAUCAUGUACGUUUAACUCUCGGUCAUUUGCUAUUUAGGCUGCUGUGUGGUAAGCCUAUCUACAUGCCUGGCUCAUAACAUUGUAAAUGGUCAUUUGUAAGCUUAUUAGAGAACAUGUAUCAUCAGCAACCAUUUAUCUAUCAUCAAAUCGUACUUAUUUCCAUAUGUUCCAUUUUGUGUCUACAUAUUUUAGUGCACACUCUUUCAAUACUUGGUUUGCACUCGGCUUUUGCGCCAUUGCGCAACUGGUCAUAUGUAGGAUAUGUACUUUAAGAAUUAUGGCGUGUUCUCCUUUUUUGUUUACCUUAGCCACAUAGGUUAGCCUUAGUUUAUUAUUAUCCUUCUGUUUAGAGUAGAUACAGAACUGAGGCUUACCUAUGUAUUUUUGAUAGAAAGACUUACUUAGGUUGUGAGAGCUGCUGAUGAUGAGUCUAUUAAAAGUCCUUGC